rnacentral:rRNA from 1 species
GAUGAACGCUGGCGGCGUGCCUAAUACAUGCAAGUCGAGCGAACAGAUAAGGAGCUUGCUCCUUUGACGUUAGCGGCGGACGGGUGAGUAACACGUGGAUAACCUACCUAUAAGACUGGGAUAACUUCGGGAAACCGGAGCUAAUACCGGAUAACAUAUUGAACCGCAUGGUUCAAUAGUGAAAGGCGGCUUUGCUGUCACUUAUAGAUGGAUCCGCGCCGUAUUAGCUAGUUGGUAAGGUAACGGCUUACCAAGGCAACGAUACGUAGCCGACCUGAGAGGGUGAUCGGCCACACUGGAACUGAGACACGGUCCAGACUCCUACGGGAGGCAGCAGUAGGGAAUCUUCCGCAAUGGGCGAAAGCCUGACGGAGCAACGCCGCGUGAGUGAUGAAGGUCUUCGGAUCGUAAACUCUGUUAUCAGGGAAGAACAAAUGUGUAAGUAACUGUGCACAUCUUGACGGUACCUGAUCAGAAAGCCACGGCUAACUACGUG